rnacentral:tRNA from 2 species
GUCGGCGUGGCGGAACGGCAGACGCGCCAGAUUUAGGAUCUGGUGCCCGAAAGGGCUUGGAGGUUCGAUUCCUCUCGCCGACACCA